AUUGAACGCUGGCGGCAGGCCUAACACAUGCAAGUCGAACGGUAACAGGAAGCAGCUUGCUGCUUUGCUGACGAGUGGCGGACGGGUGAGUAAUGUCUGGGAAACUGCCUGAUGGAGGGGGAUAACUACUGGAAACGGUAGCUAAUACCGCAUAACGUCGCAAGACCAAAGAGGGGGCCCUUCGGGCCUCUUGCCUUCGGAUGUGCCCAGAUGGGAUUAGCUAGUAGGUGGGGUAACGGCUCACCUAGGCGACGAUCCCUAGCUGGUCUGAGAGGAUGACCAGCCACACUGGAACUGAGACACGGUCCAGACGCCUACGGGAGGCAGCAGUGGGGAAUAUUGCACAAUGGGCGCAAGCCUGAUGCAGCCAUGCCGCGUGUAUGAAGAAGGCCUUCGGGUUGUAAAGUACUUUCAGCGGGGAGGAAGGGAGUAAAGUUAAUACCUUUGCUCAUUGACGUUACCCGCAGAAGAAGCACCGGCUAACUCCGUG
rnacentral:rRNA from 1 species